UUGUAUAUUUAGCCUUAUGGUGACUUUGUUAGAAGUUGAAAAGGGAAGUUGGUGAAAAUCCAACGCGGUCCCGCCACUGUAAUGAGGAGAAUUCUUUUAAUAACCACUAUUUCAAUCAGAAAUGGGAAGGUGAAAAGGAUUUGAUGACUCAGGAGCCAGGAGACCUGCCAUAAGGAAGUACAUAUU
rnacentral:ncRNA from 2 species